GAUGAACGCUGGCGGCGUGCCUAAUACAUGCAAGUCGAGCGAACGGACGAGAAGCUUGCUUCUCUGAUGUUAGCGGCGGACGGGUGAGUAACACGUGGAUAACCUACCUAUAAGACUGGGAUAACUUCGGGAAACCGGAGCUAAUACCGGAUAAUAUUUUGAACCGCAUGGUUCAAAAGUGAAAGACGGUCUUGCUGUCACUUAUAGAUGGAUCCGCGCUGCAUUAGCUAGUUGGUAAGGUAACGGCUUACCAAGGCAACGAUGCAUAGCCGACCUGAGAGGGUGAUCGGCCACACUGGAACUGAGACACGGUCCAGACUCCUACGGGAGGCAGCAGUAGGGAAUCUUCCGCAAUGGGCGAAAGCCUGACGGAGCAACGCCGCGUGAGUGAUGAAGGUCUUCGGAUCGUAAAACUCUGUUAUUAGGGAAGAACAUAUGUGUAAGUAACUGUGCACAUCUUGACGGUACCUAAUCAGAAAGCCACGGCUAACUACGUGCCAGCAGCCGCGGUAAUACGUAGGUGGCAAGCGUUAUCCGGAAUUAUUGGGCGUAAAGCGCGCGUAGGCGGUUUUUUAAGUCUGAUGUGAAAGCCCACGGCUCAACCGUGGAGGGUCAUUGGAAACUGGAAAACUUGAGUGCAGAAGAGGAAAGUGGAAUUCCAUGUGUAGCGGUGAAAUGCGCAGAGAUAUGGAGGAACACCAGUGGCGAAGGCGACUUUCUGGUCUGUAACUGACGCUGAUGUGCGAAAGCGUGGGGAUCAAACAGGAUUAGAUACCCUGGUAGUCCACGCCGUAAAGAUGAGUGCUAAGUGUUAGGGGGUUUCCGCCCCUUAGUGCUGCAGCUAACGCAUUAAGCACUCCGCCUGGGGAGUACGACCGCAAGGUUGAAACUCAAAGGAAUUGACGGGGACCCGCACAAGCGGUGGAGCAUGUGGUUUAAUUCGAAGCAACGCGAAGAACCUUACCAAAUCUUGACAUCCUUUGACAACUCUAGAGAUAGAGCCUUCCCCUUCGGGGGGGCAAAGUGACAGGUGGUGCAUGGUUGUCGUCAGCUCGUGUCGUGAGAUGUUGGGUUAAGUCCCGCAACGAGCGCAACCCUUAAGCUUAGUUGCCAUCAUUAAGUUGGGCACUCUAAGUUGACUGCCGGUGACAAACCGGAGGAAGGUGGGGAUGACGUCAAAUCAUCAUGCCCCUUAUGAUUUGGGCUACACACGUGCUACAAUGGACAAUACAAAGGGCAGCGAAACCGCGAGGUCAAGCAAAUCCCAUAAAGUUGUUCUCAGUUCGGAUUGUAGUCUGCAACUCGACUACAUGAAGCUGGAAUCGCUAGUAAUCGUAGAUCAGCAUGCUACGGUGAAUACGUUCCCGGGUCU
rnacentral:rRNA from 1 species